AUCGCAUCGGGUCAUACUAUCCGCGUUGACGGCAUUGAGUUUGACAUUUCAAAUUAGGGGGUGAAACGUAAACAAACGCAGUGAGAAAAACUAUAAUUUUUGUUCAAAGUUAUCUUGAGAUUCUAUAGCUUUCUGCAAAAAUGGCAUCCAAUGCGAUAAACUCUUCGAUGAUGACGGUAAAUUUGCAGCUUGCCGAUAUUUUUCAAUACGUCGGAGGAGGAAGCAGGUUGAUAGUCGAAGGUUCCCUUCAGUUCCAUUGCUUACAGUAACAGAUUUGCAACAAAAGUGGGGUAAAAUUGCAGAAAAAGUUGCUGACGAUAUGUACAAGACAACACCAUUGACCGCAUUCUGCAAAAAAAUGACGAAUACAAAAGAUACGACUGAAGCUGCCUCGCCGGCGGGUUUGACUCACGAUGAGGGUACCAACAUUCUUCAGCUUUUCGUGAAAGGUUUGCUUCCAAUUUAUUGAUCGAUUUUUUAAAAUAAAAUUUUAAUUAUUAAUUAUUAGGAUUCCCUGAAAGCGGUCUGGCAUACGAAAAGAAAGGACGAGAAAUGAAAAAUAUUGACAAAAAUGAUGAAUCUGAUGUUCUGAAUACACUUCUCGAUAUA